AUUGAACGCUGGCGGCAUGCUUUACACAUGCAAGUCGAACGGUAACAGGCCGCAAGGUGCUGACGAGUGGCGAACGGGUGAGUAAUGUAUCGGAACGUGCCCAGUCGUGGGGGAUAACGUAGCGAAAGCUACGCUAAUACCGCAUACGAUCUGUGGAUGAAAGCGGGGGACCGUAAGGCCUCGCGCGAUUGGAGCGGCCGAUAUCAGAUUAGGUAGUUGGUGGGGUAAAGGCCUACCAAGCCGACGAUCUGUAGCUGGUCUGAGAGGACGACCAGCCACACUGGGACUGAGACACGGCCCAGACUCCUACGGGAGGCAGCAGUGGGGAAUUUUGGACAAUGGGCGCAAGCCUGAUCCAGCAAUGCCGCGUGCAGGAUGAAGGCCUUCGGGUUGUAAACUGCUUUUGUACGGAGCGAAAAGGCUCUCUCUAAUACAGGGGGCUCAUGACGGUACCGUAAGAAUAAGCACCGGCUAACUACGUGCCAGCCGCCGCUGUAACAC
rnacentral:rRNA from 1 species